AAGGUUAUCUCUGCAAGUUAAAGUCGGGACGAAAAUUUCAAGUUAAGGAAAUUAAAUGAACGAGGUUAAGCGGUGGCGACGAGGGGCGAUGUUGAGCAGGGAUGGCAAAUGUGUUUCAGUGUGAUAAAUGCUUGGAUGCAUCGUGUCUCCACACACGGUGUCAUUCUCUCUUGACUCUUCCGCUGCAAUGAAAAUAACGAGCUUAUAUUCUUUUGCUUUACGCACUCUGAUAUAUUUUUCCAGUUAUUCCAAUUUAAUUUCGUUCAUUCCA